UUCCCCGGCCGGCCCCCUCCCUCCACGUGGGUGGGCCACUCCGCCGGCGCCCCCUCCCUCCCCCGAACGAUCCCCUCCGGACCCUCCGACGACCCACUCCGCCGGCGCCCCACCUCUGUUCCCACUCCCCGCGUCCUGGCCGUGAGGCAGCAAGGUGAGCAGCUCCUGUGAGGUUUUUUGUGUUGGAUUUUCACUGAAGGGCAUUGCAGACUUUUCACUAAUCAUACCACACAUAAGCUGAGAAAAGAGGCACCAAAAAGAACUGGCUAGCUUAUUAUCUGGAGCUUAUUUUCACAACAGCUUAUUUUCAGCUUAUUUCCACAGCAGAGCUCAAAAGAACAGGCCCUUAGUCUGAUGUGAAACAAUCAUCAAACCUGUCGUACGACGUGGAUUUAUAUUUUGAUGUCACGACUGCCGUAAGCCCAAUAUUAACCGUUCGGUUUUUUAGCCCACUUUCUCAUAAUCUCUCCAUUAAUUGAUCUCCCGAAUAAACCCUUCUCGUCUCCCCUGCACGUUCGUGCUCGGCGCCGAGCUCGGCAUGCUCCUCGCCGCCACAACUCCCUCGCUAGCACAAGUUCGUGACCCGCUCAUCAACGGCCUCCGCCCCAUCUCGCUGGUGCGCGGUGCGGGGACUGGCCAACAUCUACUCAUCGACGACCUCGUAACCUCCCUCAUCAUCAUGCUCAAAUCCACCAGGACCAGGCCCUACUCCACCUGCAGGUUUGGCCUCCGAUCCACCUUGCGUGAGUCUGGCCUUGAUUCGGGAAUGAGUCCAGCACGAGUGGAGUAACGCAGGUUUCCCCAACCCAUCCUAAUCUGAUCUAGGGUUUGGAUCAUCUCAUUUUCAUGCUUUUUAAUUCCUACAUUGCUCGAUUCCAAACAUAAUUGUGUUCUUAGACUCGUGUGAUAUCUCCAUGUCAAUUUUUUGGUUUGUUCCCUGCUUAUUGGUGUGAACUUGUGUGAAAUUUGUGAAACUUUUGUGAAAUUUGUAUGCACAUCGCACUCAAAUAUGCCUCCCUAGUUGGUGGCAGCAGGUUCCCAGUACCACUAAUGAUUCAGUGCACUAAUUUGUGUUUCUUACCAUUAUAUGUCGACAUUUUAAUAGUUUUCCUUCGAUGAUGCCCCCCCGGCAGCGACCUCGUCGUGUGCAAUACCAGAUUUAGAAGCUCGUUCCCUCGUCUACUUCCCUGGAGCAUCAACCGGCUGCUGGAGUACGUAAUGUCGGCCAGAUAACCAGGAGUGGUUUCGAGUCCUUUUCACAUCUUGAACAUCCCUUCUCGGAAUCGAAGGUACGCCUUGCAUCAAUGCCCCCCCUCCUCCAUCAAACAUAUGUUCUUGUUCAGAUUCCUUUCAGUUUGGUAACGAUUAAUUUCAGGGAUGCAAUUAAGUUUCUAAUACAGUGUGUCGAGUGUUGAGUAUUUUUGGAUGUUGAAUUGUUGUGCUUCUAUAUGUCACUACCCGUGUUACAUACCUUAACUUUUUGUGCUUCCAAACGGCAUGCUUCCUAUACAUCCUCUCUAGCUUGCGCUAGCAGAACCAUGCUUCUACCGCUUAUAUAUUUUCUGUAUAACAAUGCCAAAUUGGUUCCUAUAUUUCUCAUAUAUAUGUUACACAUGCUAACGGCCAAUUCAACAUUGCCUAUUUGACCAGUAGCCAAAGUGAUUAUACUCGGUUAGCUUUUUUUGUUCCCAUAUUCUUUUACGGUCUACUUAGUUCUAUAUCUAAGCUUUUGAAGCAAAAUUCAUUUUCAUUAGCAACAAAUUUUGAUAGAUUUGUACUUUCAUUUAUUCCGACAGGGUGACUUGUAGCGCACAUUAUUUCUUAUAUAUCCUCACCAAAAAUUUGGUUUCUUUAUGCCAUUUUGAUUUCUACCAAUCAUGGUGAAGUUUUGCAUCAACCAUUGCACAUAUGUGCUUCUUAUUAUACAUACAUUUUCCGGGAACUACAUUGCAUCAAUCACUACGAGCAUAGGCUAUUCUAGUAAACUUCCAGUGCACUAACAUUGUUCUUAUUGUAAUACAUUUUUCCAGUGCAACUUUUGUGCUUCCUUGUUUCUAACUUUUUUGUUUUCUAUUUAUAGCUUUUUUUGUACCCGACUUGAGCCAUGCUUCUUAUUUCGACGCAAUCCCAAGUGAUGCUAUUGAUGUUGAGUGUGAUGCCAUCAUGACCAGGCACCGUUAUUCGCCACCGACUGUUAUGUUGGUGAUUAAGAGCUUAUCCAUGAUCAUUUGUAGCAUGUGUUGAGACUUCGGCAAGAUGGAAGUGAAAAUAGUGUUGCGUAAUUGAUGCUUUGAACUAUUUAUGCUUCCUCAGAAUUAUGUUUGUUCAGUUCAGAUAGUUUACCUCAAUAGAACCAUGCUUUGAAAUAUCCAUUCUUAAGC
rnacentral:lncRNA from 1 species